UGAGCCAGGUUCAGAUAAACCUCAAAAAAAAAAAAAUGCUGCUGAGAAGAAAAAUAUAGUCUCAUAAGUUAUCUUUGCCAUCUAACUCUCCCCUAGCCCAAGAAGACUACCAUUCUCUACUCUGUUGUAGUGAACAUUGUUGAUAGGCAUUGUUCAUGGACUUAUGCGAUAGAUAGAUAGAUAGAUAGAUAGAUAGAUAGAUAGAUAGAUAGAUAGAUAGAUACAGAGAUAGAUACAGAGAUAGAUACAGAGAUAGAUACAGAGAUAGAUACAGAGAUAGAUAGAUGAUAGAUGAUAUAAACACAUAGGUAGAGAUAGAUAUAUGAUUCAUAGAUAGAUGAUAUGUAAAAAUUAUCUAUAUGCAAUAUAAUUUUUCACAUUAAAUAAGUAUCUUAUUAAAACUUUAAAAUGAGGGAGGGAAGUCUAACGUUAACCCACACAUUUUCUUUUCCUCAGAAUCACCCUUCUGUGAGGAACAGAGGUGCCUACACUCCGGCUCUGCUCAGUCGUUGACUGAACUUUCCAGGGGAGAAUUCCUUCCCUGGCAUGAAGCAGGCUGCAUUAGCCAAAGAAAGCUGUCAGACAGACAGAGGCUGCUACUGGCAGUAGGUCACAGAGCUGGCUCCCUAUGAGAGGGCAAGGCUGAGAAAAGGGAAGGGCAGUGUUUACCCCAGUUACUAAUUACAUGUGCCAUGUUAUAGAACACACUGCCACCUGGCACACCGAGUGGGGCCCCCAAGGCCCUUCUCUGGAUUUGACCCUCCCUAUGGGACAAAAAGCACCUAAGGACCUAAUAGGAGGGGCCCUCUUGGAACCCAGGCAAGCCUUCUAGACUCUGUGCCAAGUAGCUGGAACCUUGGAACAUCUCAAUUAAAGAUAUGCCGAAGUCCUGACCCCCUCAGGGGCAAUGCCUCAGCCUGUGACCUUAUUUCGAAACAGUAAAAUACAACCAGGUGAAAAUGAGAUCAGGGUGAACCCUAAUCCAAGAUGAACAAUGUUCUAAUCUUUAAAAAAGUAAGUUUGAACACAAAAAACAGAUAAUGGAAGGAGGAUAGCAAAAAACAGCCAGAGAGAAAUUGUUCAUCUCUAAGCCAAGAAGAGCAUCCUUGAGACCCCAGCAGGAACUGAGACGUGGACACCCUGAUGUGGAUGUUCAGCCUUCAGAACCAUCAAGUGAGAGAGUGCUUGAUGCCAGAUGCCGCAGAGUUGAAGGAUUUCUGAGCCCUCCACAUUCUUUAUAAACAGAGCUGGAAGACAUGACUAGACGGAAUGCCAAAAAAUUGGAUAGAACUUCUCCCAAGUUUUCUAACUUGCAGUUUGCCAUUCUUAAGAUAAAAACAGCCCCUUAAAGAGCCCAGGUGCCCGUUGUCUGUGGCUUGUAACCGCUCAUAGGUAAACAGAUUGAGGACACCUAAGCGUGAAAGAUGCGCCUGUGGGCCUGGCCUCCCCUCUUCCCUUUUCUGCCUCUCACUCUCAGCACCUUCUUCUCCAGCCCUCUUCCCAUUACUACCCUGAGCUCACUACUGUCCCUCACCCCAGCCUUCCCUUGUCUCCUAACUGAGCCAGGGUCCGGUUUAACCGCUACGCAGCACAAAGGCCUAAACUGUACCACAAACAGCUUCUCACUGGCCAUCAAUUCACUCAUUCAUAAAUGGGGUUGACAACAUACCCUCCCCACAAGGCAGUUAGCAUUGACUAAGAGCACUCUCUAGAAACUUCAUAGCUCCAGGCAAAAUUUCUUCUACAUUCUACAUCAGUCUGGACUGUUAGCCUAUGGCAGGUAGGUGUGUCAGGGGGCCCCUGGCAUCCUGUGUCCAGGGGAGGAACUCAGCUUUGGGUCAGUGGUUGGAAGUGUCAGGCUGAGGGCUGUUCCGUUUGUGGCCAGCUCUCUCCUUCCUCAUUCUCAUUCACAAGCACACCCGGCCACAGCUCAAGGAGUCUGGGAGGCAACUCCCAGCUUCAUGGAACCUUGGAUUCCUAUAUGGCCAUCCCUGAACUUUGGCUUCCUACUGCUUUUCAGCAUAAGAUUGGUAGCUUCUAAUACAACUGUGUUGGUGCACAAGAGCAGAGCCCAGGCUCAGCAUAUGUGCGGGACGGUAAGAGGAUCUCAAAUGCCCUGUGAAGAAAUGCACUGAGACCAGCGGAAGGCCAUGGGAUUGGAGGUAAAGACAAUGACAAAAAGGAAUGGCAAAUUUCAAAGGGAACCUUCUCAUCUGAUUCAAAGUACACUGAAGACAGGAAUAAGGAAUCAUCUGUGGGACUUUCUUAUAGAAAUAUGAUAAUUAUGGCCACUUAUGUAAAAAGCUAAACAUUUUUGCCUAACUACUGUGUACCUCUGCAACCGACAUUCUGCUUACUGGACAGUGUAAGCUCACUCUUGCUCAGCUGGUGCUCAUGGCACCUACGACCCUGCUGACUGUCAGCUCCCUGUCCCCAGUAAUACUAAGACAGACUCUGAUACAACCUCUGCAAGGUAGGGUGUGUGUGUGUCUGUGUAUGUAUAUGUGUGCAUGUACAUAUAGCUAUGUGUAUGUAUAUAUGCAUCCUGUGUGUCCAUGUAUGUACACGUAUGUGAAUGUGUCUGUAUGGCUACCUAUAUGUGUAUGUAUAUUUGUGUCUGGGUGUGCUUGUAUCUCUAUGUCUAUAUGUGUGUCUCUGUAUGUGUGUGUAUGUCUGUCUGUCUCUGUCUUCAUGUGUAUCCAUCUCCCUAUGCAUCCUCCAUCUUUGGUAGAGCUGUAUUGGUGGAGGGAGGGGAAAAGGUGGUUCAUUUUAAAUGGCUGUUCAGGAUGAUGGACUCUGGAUGUGCAUAUGCUGACAGGAAUGUGAACAAAUUUUAAAACUCUCUUCUAAUGGAUAAGUAAACAAAACAAUGAUGAAAGAU